CCUACGGGCGGCAGCAGUGAGGAAUAUUGGUCAAUGGACGAGAGUCUGAACCAGCCAAGUAGCGUGAAGGAUGACUGCCCUAUGGGUUGUAAACUUCUUUUAUAUGGGAAUAAAACGUUCCACGUGUGGGAUUUUGUAUGUACCAUAUGAAUAAGGAUCGGCUAACUCCGUGCCAGCAGCCGCGGUAAUACGGAGGAUCCGAGCGUUAUCCGGAUUUAUUGGGUUUAAAGGGAGCGUAGGUGGAUUGUUAAGUCAGUUGUGAAAGUUUGCGGCUCAACCGUAAAAUUGCAGUUGAAACGGGCAGUCUUGAGUACAGUAGAGGUGGGCGGAAUUCGUGGUGUAGCGGUGAAAUGCUUAGAUAUCACGAAGAACUCCGAUUGCGAAGGCAGUUCACUGGACUGCAACUGACACUGAGGCUCGAAAGUGUGGGUAUCAAACAGGAUUAGAUACCCCAGUAGUC
rnacentral:rRNA from 1 species